rnacentral:rRNA from 1 species
UACGGGGGGAGCAAGCGUUGUUCGGAGUUACUGGGCGUAAAGCGUGCGUAGGCGGUGUCUUAAGUUUGUUGUGAAAUCUCCCGGCUUAACCGGGAGGGUGCGGCGAAUACUGAGAUGCUGGAGUGCCGGAGAGGUAAGCGGAAUUCCUGGUGUAGCGGUGAAAUGCGUAGAUAUCAGGAGGAACACCUGCGGUGUAGACGGCUUACUGGACGGUAACUGACGCUGAGGCACGAAAGCGUGGGUAGCAAACAGG